GGUUAAGCGACUAAGCGUACACGGUGGAUGCCCUGGCAGUCAGAGGCGAUGAAGGACGUGCUAAUCUGCGAAAAGCGUCGGUAAGGUGAUAUGAACCGUUAUAGCCGGCGAUGUCCGAAUGGGGAAACCCAGUGUGAUUCGUCACACUAUCGUUAACUGAAUACAUAGGUUAACGAGGCGAACCGGGGGAACUGAAACAUCUAAGUACCCCGAGGAAAAGAAAUCAACCGAGAUUCCCCCAGUAGCGGCGAGCGAACGGGGAGCAGCCCAGAGUCUGAAUCAGCUUGUGUGUUAGUGGAACGGUCUGGAAAGUCCGACGGUACAGGGUGAUAGUCCCGUACACCAAAAUGCACAGGUUGUGAACUCGAAGAGUAGGGCGGGACACGUGGUAUCCUGUCUGAAUAUGGGGGGACCAUCCUCCAAGGCUAAAUACUCCUGACUGACCGAUAGUGAACCAGUACCGUGAGGGAAAGGCGAAAAGAACCCCGGCGAGGGGAGUGAAAAAGAACCUGAAACCGUGUACGUACAAGCAGUGGGAGCACCUU
rnacentral:rRNA from 1 species